rnacentral:rRNA from 1 species
GCGCGUAGGCGGUUUGAUAAGUCAGAUGUGAAAGCCCACGGCUUAACCGUGGAAGUGCAUUUGAUACUGUCAGACUUGAGUACCAGAGGGGAAAGUGGAAUUCCCGGUGUAGAGGUGAAAUUCGUAGAUAUCGGGAGGAAUACCGGUGGCGAAGGCGACUUUCUGGCUGAGUACUGACGCUGAGGCGCGAAAGCGUGGGGAGCAAACA